AGCAAUCUGCCUUGGAGUGGGGAAUAACGGUUGGAAACAGCCGCUAAUACCGCAUGAUGCGUCUGGGAGGCAUCUCUCUGGACGCCAAAGAUUUAUCGCUCUGAGAUGAGCUCGCGUCUGAUUAGCUUGUUGGCGGGUAAGCCCACCAAGGCGACGAUCAGUAGCCGGACUGAGAGGUUGGCCGGCCACAUUGGGACUGAGACACGGCCCAGACUCCUACGGAAGGCAGCAG
rnacentral:rRNA from 1 species